GAAGGGAAAGGAGAAAGAGAGAAUGGCUAGUGGGGAAAGUACUACUUCUGUAGUCAGCUCUGGGUUCAAAUUUCCCCUCUGAUACUUAUUAUGUGUAUUAUCUUUGUCUCUUUAGGUUUUCAUUUGCUUAUCCAAAUCUAUGAUUCCUGACUAUAUAUAAUAUGAAACUGUGAGAAGGUCAUGGUACAUAAAGGAAGCAUCAUGGACUGAUAUCAAGAUCCAGGAUGAUAUAUUAAUUGUAUGAGAGCUAAAACAGAGAUGAAAUGGUCUUACCAUCUGCCUGGAAAGACUGAGAAAUGCACCAUGUGUACAAUUCUGUCAUGUGAAAAGGAACUCUGGAGGCAUGCUGGAGAAUGCCAGAGGGAAGAAAAGAAAAUAGAUAAUUUAAAGAGGGAGAAAAAGAUCAUGGCCUAUAUCCACAUCG